UAGGGAAUCUUCGGCAAUGGACGAAAGUCUGACCGAGCAACGCCGCGUGAGUGAAGAAGGUUUUCGGAUCGUAAAACUCUGUUGUUAGAGAAGAACAAGGACGUUAGUAACUGAACGUCCCCUGACGGUAUCUAACCAGAAAGCCACGGCUAACUACGUGCCAGCAGCCGCGGUAAUACGUAGGUUGCAAGCGUUGUCCGGAUUUAUUGUGCGUAAAGCGAGCGCAGGCGGUUUCUUAAGUCUGAUGUGAAAGCCCCCGGCUCAACCGGGGAGGGUCAUUGGAAACUGGGAGACUUGAGUGCAGAAGAGGAGAGUGGAAUUCCAUGUGUAGCGGUGAAAUGCGUAGAUAUAUGGAGGAACACCAGUGGCGAAGGCGGCUCUCUGGACUGUAACUGACGCUGAGGCUCGAAAGCGUGGGGAGCAAACAGG
rnacentral:rRNA from 1 species